GACGAACGCUGGCGGCGUGCCUAAUACAUGCAAGUAGAACGCUGAAGGAGGAGCUUGCUUCUCUGGAUGAGUUGCGAACGGGUGAGUAACGCGUAGGUAACCUGCCUGGUAGCGGGGGAUAACUAUUGGAAACGAUAGCUAAUACCGCAUAAGAGUAGAUGUUGCAUGACAUUUGCUUAAAAGGUGCAAUUGCAUCACUACCAGAUGGACCUGCGUUGUAUUAGCUAGUUGGUGAGGUAACGGCUCACCAAGGCAACGAUACAUAGCCGACCUGAGAGGGUGAUCGGCCACACUGGGACUGAGACACGGCCCAGACUCCUACGGGAGGCAGCAGUAGGGAAUCUUCGGCAAUGGACGGAAGUCUGACCGAGCAACGCCGCGUGAGUGAAAGAAAGGGUUUUCGGGAUCGUAAAAGCCUCUGUU
rnacentral:rRNA from 1 species